rnacentral:lncRNA from 1 species
AACAUGCCUGUUAUGCUUUCCACAAUUGAAGUGUGUGAUGUGUGUCAAUUUGGAAAGCAAACCAGAAUUCCUUUUCCUAUUAAUCAAUCAUGGAGGGCAGUAGAGAAGUUGCAGCUUGUUCAUAGUGAUGUUUGUGGUCCCAUGAGUUCUCCUUCACUCAAUGGGAGCAAGUACUUUGUGCUUUUCAUUGAUGAUUUUUCCAGGUUCUGUUGGGUGUAUUUCUUGCAACAAAAAUCAGAAGUGCUACAGAUGUUUCAAAAGUUCAAAGCUGCAGCUGAGAAUCAAUGCAACUCAAAAAUCAAAAUACUCAGAGCUGAUAAUGGAACUGAGUAUGCUAACAAGAAUUUCAGUAAGGUUUGUGAAGAGGCAGGAAUUCAACAUCAAUUUACAACUAGUUACACUCCACAGCAGAAUGGAGUAAGUGUGAGAAAAAACAGGACUGUUAUGGAGAUGGCUAGAUGCUUAAUGUUUGAAAAAAAAUUACCAAAAAAAUUAUGGGUUGAGGCAGUAAAUACAUCAGUCUAACGAUUGAAUAGACUACCAACGAAGGCUUUAAAAGAACAAACUCCUUUUGAAGCCUGGUUUGAAGUUAAACCUUGCAUUGAACAUUUAAAAGUCUUUGGGAGCAUAUGCUAUGCUCAUAUUCCAGCUGUGAAAAGAGAUAAGUUGGAUCGCAAGUCUCAGGUUGGGAUUUUUCUGGGCUAUAGCAGCAAUGUAAAAGGAUAUAGGGUGUUCAACAUGGAGACAAAGAAUGUAAUAGUUUGCAGAGAUUUGAAAGUGGAUGAAGAAGCUUACUGGGAUUGGGAAAAGGCACAAGUGGAACUUAUAAACAAUAAUCAAAUUCAGAGAGUUGAUUCUCUUAAUCAAGAACCAGCUCAUGAACAAGAAGAUGCAGAUUAUGGAAGUGACACAGAUUCAGAUUUUGCAGUCAGAGGUACCAGGUCUCUAGAAGAAAUUUAUGAGAGGUCUAAUAUAGCCUUGCUGGAGCCAACAAGUCUAGAAGAGGCAAUGCAAUCUCCAAAUUGGAUGAAUGCAAUGCAAGGAGAGCUGAAAAUGAUCAAUAAAAAUGAAACGUGGAACUUGGUUGAUAGACCAAGAAACAAGAAGGUAAUUGGUGUAAAGUGGGUUUAUAGAAUCAAACUCAACUCAGAUGGUUCUGUAAAUAAGCACAAAGCAAGAUUAGUUGUGAAAGGCUAUUCACAACAGUUUGGAGUGGAUUACACAGAUACCUUUGCUCCAGUAGCAAGGUAUGAUACAAUAAGGCUUCUCAUUGCCUUGGCUAGGGGUGAGCAUUCGGUCGGUUCGGUUCAAAACCGAACCGAACCGAAUAAACCGAAAACCGAAAUUUGAGUGUUUAUGAAAACCGAACCGAACCGAUUUUGAUCAGAAACUGAAUCGAACCGAACCGGUCUGAUUCGGUUCGGUUCAGUUUGAUCGGUUUUGAUUUUUAAUAAUUUUUUUUAUUUUUUACACUUUAUUUUUAAUAUUUUAAAAUUUAAUUAAAAUAUUUUAAUUUUAAUAUGAUUUAAUUUCUAUAUAUUAUUGAAAAAACAUAUUAUUAUUACUAAUCGGUUCGGUUCGGUUUUUUCGGUUUUUUUCUGAUCAAAACCGAACCGAACCGAAAUAACCGAAAUUUUUGAAAUUGAAAACCGAACCGAAUCGAAAUAUAUAAAAAACCGAACCAAAUUUUUAAAUCGGUUCGGUUCGGUCGGUUUUUUCGAUUUGAACCGAAUAGUGCUCACCCCUAGCCUUGGCUGCUCAAAAAUGUUGGAAGAUUUAUUAGCUUGAUGUGAAAUCUACAUUUCUAAAUGGUCAUCUACAAGAGGAGAUUUUUGUAGAGCAACCACCUGGUUUCAUUAAGAAGGGACAAGAAGAUAAAGUUUUCUUCCUCAAGAAAGCUUUAUAUGGGUUGAAACAGGCCCCUAGAGCCUGGUACAGCAUAAUGGAUUAUCAUUUGUUGAAAUUGGAUUUUACAAGAAGUCCUAGUGAAGCUACUUUGUAUGUUAAAGCUGAGAAUGAAGAUUUGCUAAUUGUUUCCUUGUAUGUGGAUGACCUUUUGAUCACAGGAAGUAGCAAUGAGUUGGUACAACAAUUCAAGAAUGAAAUGCAGUCUGUAUUUGAGAUGACUGAUCUUGGAGAAAUGACUUUCUUCCUUGGAUUGGAGGUUCAUCAAACAAGUCAUGGAACCUUCAUUUGUCAAGAAAAAUAUGCAAAUGAAGUACUUAAGAAGUUUGGGAUGGAAAAUUGCAGUAGUAUCAACACUCCUUUGGCCCAAAAUGAGAAAUUGAGCAAGGAAGAUGAUUCAGAAAAAAUAGAUUCAGGAAUUUAUAGAAGUGUAAUUGGAUGUCUAUUGUAUUUAGCAACUUCCAGACCUGAUAUUAUGUUUGUAACCAGCCUAUUAUUUAGGUUCAUACAUAAUCCUAGCCAAAGGCACUUCAAGGCAGGUAUGUGAAGGGAACCAGUAAUUUGGGCAUUUGGUUCAAGGCUGGUCAAGAAGUGAAGCUUAUUGGGUAUACAGACAGUGAUUGGGGAGGCACAGUUGAUGACAUGAAGAGCACCUCAGGAUUCAUGUUCUCUAUUGGUUCAGGAGCUGUUAGCUGGAGUUCAAGAAAGUAGGAAGUGGUAGCUCAGUCUACAGCAGAAGCAUAAUACAUUUCUGCUGCUGCUGCUGUGAAUCAGGCCAUUUGGCUUAGAAAGUUUAUGAAAGAUUUGAAGCAGGAACAAAGGGAAGCUACUGUGAUCUUCUAUGAUAAUCAGUCAGCUAUAGCAAUGGCAAAAAACCCAGUUUUUCAUGGUAGAACCAAACAUAUCAAGAUCAAAUUUCAUUUUAUUAGAGAAGCAGAGAAAGAAGAAGAAGUGAAGCUCAUUCAUUGUGAUUCUGAAGUUCAAGUUGCUGAUCUCUUAACCAAAGGAUUGCCUAAAAUCAGAUUUGAAACAUUGAGGAGGAGCCUUGGUGUUUCCAGCAAAAAUGUCAAGGAGGAGUGAAGAUGGCAAUGACAU